GAGUUUGAUCCUGGCUCAGGAUGAACGCUAGCGGCAGGCUUAAUACAUGCAAGUCGAGGGGCAGCAGCUUUAUAGCAAUAUAGAGGCUGGCGACCGGCAAACGGGUGCGGAACACGUACACAACCUUCCUUGAAUAGGGGGAUAGCCCAUAGAAAUGUGGAUUAAUACCCCGUAAUAUAGCGGUGUGGCAUCACACUGUUAUUAUAGUUUCGGCGAUUCGAGAUGGGUGUGCGGCUGAUUAKGUAGUUGGCGGGGWAAAGGCCCACCAAGCCUUCSAUCWGUAUCUGAUGUGAG
rnacentral:rRNA from 1 species